CAGAUUUUCCUCUUCUUCCUUCUGAUGACUUUGGACUGUCUGCGCUCACCAGGGACAGCCGGGAAGCUUUGGUUUCAUCUUCCUCCUGAGACAGAGAGACCCCUCACGGCAGGCCCUGGUGGCCUGGAGGUCCCUCUCAGCCCUGGAAUUCUCUGGUUUCUGGUAUCACUUCUCAUUAACUAAGGCAAAGGACUGGGUGUUCCUGGGCCUCAGCUUCCUCAGCGGCAACAUGGGAAUAACAGAACUGCAGUGAGAACACACGUAUUCGGCCGUCUGUGGUGCUCAGUGAAGCAGCUUCCUCUCCCACUACCCACUUUGUCCCUCUAGAGCUCAAAGAUCGGUAACCUAAGGAAUUGCAGGGAAGCUAAACAAUGACUAAAGGUUUAGAAAAUAAGAUCUAAGGAGAACAGGUGAAGGAAUGGUAAGUGUGUCAUAUGGGAAGGAGAGCCCUUACUCUGGACAGAGAGGGCAGUAAAUAACCAUGGCUGCCAUUUGUAAGCAAGGAAGAUGGCUGUCAGCCACUGGCAAGAGAGGACAAAGGCUACAUCUUUCUUUGGGACUCAUUAGAAGGGGACUCUCCAGGCCUCAGCUGCCUUAUGUGUGGGUUGCAUGAAGGCAGGCGUGAUGAUUUUCCCUGGGGAAAUGGGCUUGUGAGCACCAGGCUGGGGACUGAUCUCCUGGCCCGAGCACCCUGCCCCUCCUCAUUGGCCGGGGCUCGGGGGCUGGCACAGUUGAGUGCGUCCUUCUGUUUUUUCUGUAUGUUCCACUGUUACUGUGGAGAUUCCCUUUGCCUCACUCUAGUCAUUCCC